UUAAGCGACUAAGCGUACACGGUGGAUGCCCUGGCAGUCAGAGGCGAUGAAGGACGUGCUAAUCUGCGAUAAGCGCCGGUAAGGUGAUAUGAACCGUUAUAACCGGCGAUUUCCGAAUGGGGAAACCCAGUGUGACUCGUCACACUAUCAUUAACUGAAUCCAUAGGUUAAUGAGGCGAACCGGGGGAACUGAAACAUCUAAGUACCCCGAGGAAAAGAAAUCAACCGAGAUUCCCCCAGUAGCGGCGAGCGAACGGGGAGGAGCCCAGAGCCUGAAUCAGCAUGUGUGUUAGUGGAAGCGUCUGGAAAGGCGCGCGAUACAGGGUGACAGCCCCGUACACAAAAGCGCAUGUGCUGUGAGCUCGAUGAGUAGGGCGGGACACGUGGUAUCCUGUCUGAAUAUGGGGGGACCAUCCUCCAAGGCUAAAUACUCCUGACUGACCGAUAGUGAACCAGUACCGUGAGGGAAAGGCGAAAAGAACCCCGGCGAGGGGAGUGAAAAAGAACCUGAAACCGUGUACGUACAAGCAGUGGGAGCACCCUUUGGGGUGUGACUGCGUACCUUUUGUAUAAUGGGUCAGCGACUUAUAUUCUGUAGCAAGGUUAACCGAAUAGGGGAGCCGGAGGGAAACCGAGUCUUAAUUGGGCGUUAAGUUGCAGGGUAUAGACCCGAAACCCGGUGAUCUAGCCAUGGGCAGGUUGAAGGUUGGGUAACACUAACUGGAGGACCGAACCGACUAAUGUUGAAAAAUUAGCGGAUGACCUGUGGCUGGGGGUGAAAGGCCAAUCAAACCGGGAGAUAGCUGGUUCUCCCCGAAAGCUAUUUAGGUAGCGCCUCGUGAAUUCAUCUCCGGGGGUAGAGCACUGUUUCGGCUAGGGGGCCAUCCCGGCUUACCAACCCGAUGCAAACUGCGAAUACCGGAGAAUGUUAUCACGGGAGACACACGGCGGGUGCUAACGUCCGUCGUGAAGAGGGAAACAACCCAGACCGCCAGCUAAGGUCCCAAAGUCAUGGUUAAGUGGGAAACGAUGUGGGAAGGCCCAGACAGCCAGGAUGUUGGCUUAGAAGCAGCCAUCAUUUAAAGAAAGCGUAAUAGCUCACUGGUCGAGUCGGCCUGCGCGGAAGAUGUAACGGGGCUAAACCAUGCACCGAAGCUGCGGCAGCGACGCUGAUGCGUUGUUGGGUAGGGGAGCGUUCUGUAAGCCUGCGAAGGUGUGUCGUGAGGCAUGCUGGAGGUAUCAGAAGUGCGAAUGCUGACAUAAGUAACGAUAAAGCGGGUGAAAAGCCCGCUCGCCGGAAGACCAAGGGUUCCUGUCCAACGUUAAUCGGGGCAGGGUGAGUCGACCCCUAAGGCGAGGCCGAAAGGCGUAGUCGAUGGGAAACGGGUUAAUAUUCCCGUACUUGGUGUUACUGCGAAGGGGGGACGGAGAAGGCUAUGUUGGCCGGGCGACGGUUGUCCCGGUUUAAGCGUGUAGGUGUGUGUUCCAGGUAAAUCCGGUUCACUUUAACACUGAGGCGUGAUGACGAGGCACUACGGUGCUGAAGCAACAAAUGCCCUGCUUCCAGGAAAAGCCUCUAAGCAUCAGGUAACAUCAAAUCGUACCCCAAACCGACACAGGUGGUCAGGUAGAGAAUACCAAGGCGCUUGAGAGAACUCGGGUGAAGGAACUAGGCAAAAUGGUGCCGUAACUUCGGGAGAAGGCACGCUGACACGUAGGUGAAGUGAUUUACUCAUGGAGCUGAAGUCAGUCGAAGAUACCAGCUGGCUGCAACUGUUUAUUAAAAACACAGCACUGUGCAAACACGAAAGUGGACGUAUACGGUGUGACGCCUGCCCGGUGCCGGAAGGUUAAUUGAUGGGGUCAGCGCAAGCGAAGCUCCUGAUCGAAGCCCCGGUAAACGGCGGCCGUAACUAUAACGGUCCUAAGGUAGCGAAAUUCCUUGUCGGGUAAGUUCCGACCUGCACGAAUGGCGUAAUGAUGGCCAGGCUGUCUCCACCCGAGACUCAGUGAAAUUGAACUCGCUGUGAAGAUGCAGUGUACCCGCGGCAAGACGGAAAGACCCCGUGAACCUUUACUAUAGCUUGACACUGAACAUUGAGCCUUGAUGUGUAGGAUAGGUGGGAGGCUUUGAAGUGUGGACGCCAGUCUGCAUGGAGCCGGCCUUGAAAUACCACCCUUUAAUGUUUGAUGUUCUAACGUGGACCCGUGAUCCGGGUUGCGGACAGUGUCUGGUGGGUAGUUUGACUGGGGCGGUCUCCUCCUAAAGAGUAACGGAGGAGCACGAAGGUUGGCUAAUCCUGGUCGGACAUCAGGAGGUUAGUGCAAUGGCAUAAGCCAGCUUGACUGCGAGCGUGACGGCGCGAGCAGGUGCGAAAGCAGGUCAUAGUGAUCCGGUGGUUCUGAAUGGAAGGGCCAUCGCUCAACGGAUAAAAGGUACUCCGGGGAUAACAGGCUGAUACCGCCCAAGAGUUCAUAUCGACGGCGGUGUUUGGCACCUCGAUGUCGGCUCAUCACAUCCUGGGGCUGAAGUAGGUCCCAAGGGUAUGGCUGUUCGCCAUUUAAAGUGGUACGCGAGCUGGGUUUAGAACGUCGUGAGACAGUUCGGUCCCUAUCUGCCGUGGGCGCUGGAGAACUGAGGGGGGCUGCUCCUAGUACGAGAGGACCGGAGUGGACGCAUCACUGGUGUUCGGGUUGUCAUGCCAAUGGCACUGCCCGGUAGCUAAAUGCGGAAGAGAUAAGUGCUGAAAGCAUCUAAGCACGAAACUUGCCCCGAGAUGAGUUCUCCCUGAGACUUAGAGUCUCCUGAAGGAACGUUGAAGACGACGACGUUGAUAGGCCGGGUGUGUAAGCGCAGCGAUGCGUUGAGCUAACCGGUACUAAUGAACCGUGAGGCUUAACCUU
rnacentral:rRNA from 1 species